rnacentral:rRNA from 1 species
UACGUAGGGUGCAAGCGUUGCCCGGAUUUAUUGGGCGUAAAGGGCGCGUAGGCGGCUCGGCACGUCCGUUGUGAAAUCGCCCGGCUCAACUGGGCGGGGUCAGCGGAUACGGUCGAGCUUGAGCAAGCUAGGGGGCAAUGGAAUUCCAGGUGUAGCGGUGAAAUGCGUAGAUAUCAGGAGGAAUACCGAUGGCGAAGGCAGGUCUCUGGGCUGACACUGACGCUCAUGCACGAAAGCGUGGGGAGCAAACAGG